GGGUGGCAUACCUCUGAAUCUUCUCUAACUUUGUCUUGUGUUUAACUAGGUGUGGACUCCAGGCUGGAGCUGCAUACUCCAGGAUUGGUCUGACAUAUACAAGGUUCUGAAUAAUUCCUUACACAAUUCCUAGCAUGCACAGCUGAUGAUGUCCUUUUGAUGUGGACUUCUGGGGGCCAAGUUCAGUGUGAUAUCAACCCCCAGGUCUUUCUCUCUACCAUGUGCUUGGGCUCCUACUCUCUUCACCUAAUUUAAUUACUUUACACUUGGGGUUAAAUUUUAGUAGUCGCUUUCUGGACCAUUCCUCCAAUUUGUCCAGGUCGUCUUGUAGUCCCUUUCUAUCCUCUGUCUUCAUCCUUCUCAUAAUUCAAUUUCAUCAUCAGCAAACAUUGAGAGGAAAUGAAUUUAUGCCCCCCGGAAAAUUGUUUACAUGUAUCAGAAACAGGAUGGCUCCAAGUACUGUGUAACUUAGCAUGUCUUGUGUCUUGCAAGAAUUUCUUUUUCUACCAAAAGAUUACUAUAAGAAAUGCCAUGCAGUGAGCCAUAUAGCGUAUAAUGAGAAUUAGGACAAUAAGAGAUAAUGUAUAUAUUGUUAAGAAGGGUGAUUAUUAAUGAUCUUUCUUCAUAGAAUUGUCAUGCUUCAUAUGUAUUGAUAAGUAGGAUAAGUAUUAACUAAAAUAAUUUCUCAUAAUAAACUAUUUGUUAAGGAAGAACUUGCUGCUGGAUUUCUUCAGCAGAAAGCAGGCUUGAAGGCCUGCUCAGGCCUUUCCUACCGGGUUAGUUUUGGUCAGGUGCAGAAAGAAGAGGAGCUACCCACUGCCCAGAUCUGGAUUGGUCAUACUCACCACUACCCAACAAAAUAUGUUGCCUCUGCUUUAAAUUUCAUGGUCAGACAUUUUUGAAAGUGAAGUACAGUACUGUAUACUCAUUUUCAUUAUGAGAUUCAAACUUGUACCAAGAUAUGAUAAAUAUGUUACUGUAUCCAACAAUAUUAUAACUAAAGAAAAUACAACUACAUUAUGGCCCUUAUAUAAUGUGUUGGAAAAAAGAGAGAUUGCUGCAGUGGACUACAUUGAAAAAUUAAGUUUGUUGCAACUAUAGCAGGGAUGAAUGGAACUACAAGUCUUCCACAAACAAACAUCAUUGAUAACACUGUACACUGUCAAGCCUAGGGACAGCUUGUGUAACGUGAGCAACGGUCACAAUGUUGCACAUAAAGGGGUAAAUCAUCAAGUCUGCAGAUGGCUGUGUGCAUUUAGCAUUCUUUUAAGGAAUUAAGUAGGGUGAGGAGGCAUCAGUCCAGAGGAGAUAAGAAAAGAGUCUAGGAAAAGAAGGGUAGAGAGGUCAAAGAGAUGACACCCACCAAUUUACCACAACUAACACUACACACCUUUACAGAUAACCAACCACCUCUCAGCUAUAUAAGUAAAAUUUAUGUUGAAUCAUUGAACAACCUAAUUUUUCACAAUGUGAUUUUUCAUAAUAGGGAUAAAAUAAUGUAAAUUGUUUAUCUUAAAUAAAAAAUUGCUAAAUUUUUAAUUCAUAAACUAAGUGCUACUGGUAAGUAUUUGAGUGAAGUUUGUUGUCCAAUGCAUGACUAUCUUUAGGUAACUGUACAGAGGUGGGAGAUUGGUAUUGCAAAUGGUUUGACUCACAGAAACUUUUUCAUUCUUUAUCUUUUUUCUUUAUGGUUCAAAGAAACAUCCAAUCCUUUUCAUACACUGUUUAGUGACAGAGUUCCAGCUCUUGGCUUCCUGACGAAUCUUGUGUACCGACCUACGUACUGAAUUGCAAGUUGUAAAGUUUUUAGUAUGCAACUAAACUAUAGUACAGUACUGUAUACGUAAAAUUAAAUCAUGAAUACAUUGCGCAUGUAGUCUUCCAUUUGGCACCUGUAAAUAGGCAGCGAACAUUUUGAUUUGGUAAUAACUUCCUUCAGUUCCUUAGUAAUACAAUUUGGUUACUCAGUAUCCUUACUGUAACAUUAGGCUGCAUACUAAUUGCCAUACACAAACUGAUGAGUAACAAAUAUUUAUGGUUAAAUAUCACUUUGCACAAUGUAAUUUAUGAAGAACUUUGAAAACAUCAAGUGACAUAUUGACAUGAAACCCAAAAAAUGUAAUGUACUGUACCUAGAAAACUAAAAUGUGUGUAUGUGUACUACUGUUUUGUAUACCCUUGAAAAUAUGGCAUGUAGGUUGACUUGGUUUUAUUUUAUAUAGAUCUAUAUUUUUACGGCAUAUGUAUAUAACAUUCUGAAAAACAGUGGAGCCCUGAUGAUUAUGAAGGUGGUGUCGAGUGCUAUUACUGUACUGUAUAAUAAAUAUACUGUAAAUGACAA